rnacentral:rRNA from 1 species
UGGGGAAUUUUCCGCAAUGGGCGAAAGCCUGACGGAGCAAUGCCGCGUGGAGGUGGAAGGCCUACGGGUCGUCAACUUCUUUUCUCGGAGAAGAAACAAUGACGGUAUCUGAGGAAUAAGCAUCGGCUAACUCUGUCGCA